rnacentral:tRNA from 1 species
GCAGUAGUGGCUCAGUGACAGGAUUCUCAUCUUCCAUGUGAGAGACCUGGGUUUGAUUCCCGGCCAGUGCG